UCGUUGGUGGUCCAGUGAUAUAACUCUCACCUUUCAUGUGAGAGACCCGGGUUCAAUUCCCAGCCAGUGCA
rnacentral:tRNA from 1 species